UGCGCCUACGGGGGGCAGCAGUGGGGAAUAUUGCGCAAUGGGCGAAAGCCUGAUGCAGCAACGCCGCGUGAAGGAAGACGGUUUUCGGAUUGUAAACUUCUUUUCUUAGUGAAGAAGCAAGUGACGGUAGCUAAGGAAUAAGCAUCGGCUAACUACGUGCCAGCAGCCGCGGUAAUACGUAGGAUGCGAGCGUUAUCUGGAAUUACUGGGUGUAAAGGGAGCGCAGGCGGGAAGCCAAGUCAGCUGUGAAAACUACGGGCUUAACUUGUAGACUGCAGUUGAAACUGGUUUUCUUGAGUGAAGUA
rnacentral:rRNA from 1 species